UAUAUCACAGAAUGGUUGGGCUGCAAUGGAUCCCAAAGCCCCGAAACACGAGUCGGAGGAUGCGUGUGUUACCCCCCCAACCCCCCCCCUCGAACCGGACGGGCACAGUUGGGUGAGUCACAUCUGGCCUGGGCGGGGCACAUCUGGGCGGGGCAGCCCCUGGCAGGUCCUGGCAGCGUCGCUCCGCUCCACGGCUCCGCCCGGUGCAGCGGUGGCAUCACCGGGACCGGCGCCAAACGGGCGGUGCCGGAGCCGUUCCGCUGCUCCGAGCGGCGCCGCGACGCUACGACAAGGAACAAGGCAGCACCAGUCCCCUUCACAGCACUCUGGACACUGACCCCACUCCUCACCAUGGCCACCGUGUUCCCCAUGGGCUCUGGGGUGACGACAGCGGUGCCACGAGUUCCUGAAACGUCAGCUCCGGAUACGGUGGUGUUGGUGUGCGCCUUCACUGCCGCCUUCGUGGCCGUGGCCAUCGUGGUAGUGGUGGUGUGUCGGUGUUGGAAGCGGUGCUGCGGGAGAACAGGUGGGGACAUGGGGACGGGGUGGAGUGGAGGUGGGGUUGGGACUAGGAUGGGAUGGGGGAAUGGGGUUGGGGAGAUGGAGAUGGGAAUGGAGGUGCUGUGCGGCACAGACCCCAUCUCCCUGUGGUUACAGCCCAGGACCCUGCAGCAAUAGAGGGGAACAGUGCGGCGGUGCCCAUGGGAGCUCCGAAGAGCCCAGAAGACUGAGCCCCGCGGGAUCUCCGCGCGUGCCCCCACCAAUACAAUAAAGCUCCGCUGCUGCCACCGCCUGCA
rnacentral:lncRNA from 1 species